GUAGUACUCCCUCCGUCCAGAAAUACUUGUCUUAUAAAUGGAUAAAAUGGAUGUAUUUAUAAUUAAAAUAAGUCUAGACACACCGAUUUUUAGGACAAAUAUUUUCGGACAAAGGAAGUACAUA
rfam:Triticum aestivum genome assembly, contig: Triticum_aestivum_CS42_TGACv1_scaffold_157898_2DL